GCGGGCAUAGUAUAGUGGCAGUACGCUUCGUUGUGGCCGAAAUGGCGUCAGUUCGAUUCUGGCUGCCCGCA